CACCGCUGCAAGAGGGGAAGUUGCUACUGUGAUGAAUUCUGCCAUGUGGCACCAGACUGCCACCCAGACCACAGUGUCCUCUGCAACCCUGGUCAAAGGUGCCUACAUGCUCCUUCUAGCUUUGUUUCCCUGAUGUUCCUUGCCACCUGCUACUCCUCUCUGAGCUACUUUUCCAGCCUCCCAGGAAUGCCAUUCACCAUGGCUGUGAGGAGAAUAAAGAAGAGAGCCUGACUCCUCUCCUGAGGCCCCUUCCCCACCCUGAGCCAGCAGGAUCCACGGAGCAGAGGUCAUCUGUCCCCAGCUUGGCCCACUGAGGCCAGCAUGGCUGGGCCCAGGAUGCUUGUCUCUCAGCUCCCAUCCUGUGUACUUCCACAUUGGUUUAACCAGAGGAAAACCGAAAUCUACAAUUGUCAUAAACACAUUUAAAUGUGCGUAGAAUCAGCCAUACAAAUUGUGAAACAUA
rnacentral:misc_RNA from 1 species